rnacentral:rRNA from 1 species
AUUGAACGCUGGCGGUAGGCCUAACACAUGCAAGUCGAGCGAGCGGCGGACGGGUGAGUAAUGUCUGGGAAACUGCCUGAUGGAGGGGGAUAACGACUGGAAACGGUAGCUAAUACCGCAUACAAUCAGAUGUGCCCAGAUGGGAUGAGCUAGUAGGUGGGGUAACGGCUCACCUAGGCGACGAUCCCUAGCUGGUCUGGGAGGAUGACCAGCCACACAGGAACUUGGACACGUUCCAGACUCCCACGUGAGGCCGCAGUGGGUAAUAUUGCGCAAUGGGCGCAAUCCUGAUGCAGCCCUGCCGCGUGUGUGAAGGAGGCCUUCGGGUUGUAAAGCACGUUCAGCGGGGAGGCGUUACCCGCAGAAGAAGCACCGGCUAACUCCGUGCCAGCAGCCGCGGUAAUAC